rnacentral:rRNA from 1 species
UAAUGCAUAGGAAUCUGCCCGAUAGUGGGGGAUAACCUGGGGAAACCCAGGCUAAUACCGCAUACGUCCUACGGGAGAAAGGGGGCUCCGGCUCCCGCUAUGGGAUGAGCCUAUGUCGGAUUAGCUAGUUGGUGAGGUAACGGCUCACCAAGGCCACGAUCCGUAGCUGGUCUGAGAGGAUGAUCAGCCACAUCGGGACUGAGACACGGCCCGAACUCCUACGGGAGGCAGCAGUGGGGAAUAUUGGACAAUGGGGGAAACCCUGAUCCAGCCAUGCCGCGUGUGUGAAGAAGGCCCUCGGGUUGUAAAGCACUUUCAGCGAGGAAGAACGCCUAGCGGUUAAUACCCGCUAGGAAAGACAUCACUCGCAGAAGAAGCACCGGCUAACUCCGUGCCAGCAGCCGCGGUAAUACGGAGGGUGCAAGCGUUAAUCGGAAUUACUGGGCGUAAAGCGCGCGUAGGUGGCUUGAUAAGCCGGUUGUGAAAGCCCCGGGCUCAACCUGGGAACGGCAUCCGGAACUGUCAAGCUAGAGUGCAGGAGAGGAAGGUAGAAUUCCCGGUGUAGCGGUGAAAUGCGUAGAGAUCGGGAGGAAUACCAGUGGCGAAGGCGGCCUUCUGGACUGACACUGACACUGAGGUGCGAAAGCGUGGGUAGCAAACAGGAUUAGAUACCCUGGUAGUCCACGCCGUAAACGAUGUCGACCAGCCGUUGGGUGCCUAGCGCACUUUGUGGCGAAGUUAACGCGAUAAGUCGA